rnacentral:rRNA from 1 species
AUGGUCUCUCAAGUCCCUUCUGAUUAUCGACCAAUAAGCCUUUGUAAUGUCAUUUACAAGAUCAUUUCCAAAACAUUGGCCAAUAGACUCAAGCCUCACCUUCCUGAUUAUAUUGAUCCUUCUCAACAAGCCUUCAUCGGGGGUAGGCGCAUUUCCAAUAACAUCAUUCUAGCUCAAGAAAUUACUCACUCCUUUGCCCUUAAAUCUUGGAAACAACAAGCUUUCUUGCUUAAAAUUGACUUGGCUAAGGCUUUUGAUCGCCUUGAAUGGAACUUCAUCGUUUCUGCUCUUUCACACAAAAAUCUUCAUAGGCAUUUCAUAAAUUUGAUUUACGCUUGCACCUCUUCCCCUAAAUUUUCAGUGAUUAUCAAGGGUCAGCCUUUCGCCAACUUUCGUAGUAGUAGAGGAAUAAGACAAGGAUGUCAUUUAUCACCUUAUCUUUUUGUUCUUGCUAUUAAUGAACUUUCUUUGAGCCUCCACGAUGCUAUGGUCGAAAAUCGCUUGUCUUGUAUCUCUCUUGGUCCAUACUGUCCACCUACUCACUCCAUGCUUUUUGCUGACGAUUUAUUAGUUUGUGGUAAUGCUAUGUAGGAAGCUAAUCAAAUGGCCAAUCUCCAACCAUUUCUGCUCGCAUUCUGGCUAGACUCCGAAUUGGGGUAA